rnacentral:rRNA from 1 species
GAAAGUAAGAAAGGGCGUAUGGCGGAUGCCUAGGCUCACGGAGGCGAUGAAGGACGUGAUAAGCUGCGAUAAGCUUCGGGUAGGUGCAAAUAACCCUUGAUCCGGAGAUUUCCGAAUGGGACAACCUAGCCGUCUGAAGGACGGUUACUAGCACUUAAGUGUUAGAGCUAACGCAGGGAACUGAAACAUCUUAGUACCUGUAGGAAGAGAAAAUAAAUGAAUGAUUCCCCCAGUAGUGGCGAGCGAACGGGGAACAGCCCAAACCGUUGACGUCGCAAGGCGCCAGCGGGGUUGUAGGACCGCGACAUUGUAUGCAAAUCGUGAACAGAACACUUUGGAAAAUGUGACCAUAGACGGUGAUAGUCCAGUAUGUGAAGCGAAAUGCAGCAUAGCGGUAUCCUGAGUAACGCGGGACACGAGGAAUCCUGCGCGAAUCUGCCGGGACCAUCCGGUAAGGCUAAAUACUCCCGUGAGACCGAUAGCGAACGAGUACUGUGAAGGAAAGGUGAAAAGAACCCCGAGCAGGGGAGUGAAAUAGUUCCUGAAACCAUACGCCUACAAGCGGUCGGAGCAUCUUACGAUGUGACGGCGUGCCUUUUGCAUAAUGAUCCUACGAGUUACCGUCACUGGCGAGGUUGAGUGUCACGAGACACGUAGCCGCAGUGAAAGCGAGCCUGAAUAGGGCGCAUAGUCAGUGGGGGUAGACGCGAAACCAAGUGAUCUACACUUGGCCAGGAUGAAGUCCCGGUAACACGGGAUGGAGGUCCGCACCAAUAAGCGUUGAAAAGCUUCUGGAUGAGCCGAGUGUAGGAGUGAAAGGCCAAUCAAACUUGGAGAUAGCUCGUACUCCCCGAAAGGCAUUUAGGUGCCGCGUCGGAUGGUCACCGUGAGAGGUAGAGCGACCGAUAGGACAAGAGGGCUUCACCGCCUAUCGAGUCCUGACGAACUCCGAAUGCUCACGGUCUGCAGUCCGGCAGUAAGGGGGCGGGUGCUAAGGUCCGUCCCCGAGAGGAGAAGAAUCCAGACCGCCGUCUAAGGUCCCGGAGUUCUGCCUGAGUUAGUCUAACGAAGUCUGGUCCCUAUGACAGCUAGGAUGUUGGCUUGGAAGCAGCCAUUCAUUCAAAGAGUGCGUAACAGCUCACUAGUCGAGGGUCCGGGCAUGGAUAAUAAUCGGGUAUAAGGCAGACACCGAAGGCGCGGGAUAGCAUUUAAGAAAGUAUCGGUAGGGGAGCAUACUCACAGCGUGGAAUGGUGUACGUAAGUUAUCCUGGAGCGGUGAGUAAAGCAAAUGUAGGAAUAAGUAACGAUAAGGAGGGUUAGAUUCCCUCCCGCUGUAAGACCAAGGUUUCCCGGGCAAUGCCAAUCAGCCCGGGGUCAGUCGGGUCCUAAGUCUAAGCCGAACGGCGAUGGCGAUGGCAGAGACGGUUAAUAUUCCGUCACUGCCGCAUGGGGCGACGUGGAGACGGAGCAGUGAAACCACCGCGGGGCGACGGAAGUCCCCGUUGAAGAGUGUAGGUGUUGAGGAUGGCAGGCAAAUCCACCGUCCGAGCUGAACUUGAUAGUAUGGAGUCUUCUUCGGAAGAAUCCAAUAGUGUGGGUAAUCAUACUCCCGAGAAAAUCCGCUAAGCUUAACCCAUGCGGCACCCGUACCGCAAACGGACACACGUGGUCGGGUAGAACAUACUAAGGCGUUGAGAGAUUCAUGGUUAAGGAACUAGGCAAAUUGACCCUGUAACUUCGGGAUAAAGGGUCCUCGUGAUGAGCGAGGCGCAGAGAAUAGGUCCAGGCAACUGUUUAACAAAAACACAGGGCUGUGCAAACUCGAAAGAUGACGUAUACAGCCUGACACCUGCCCGGUGCCGGAAGGUUAAGAGGAGAUGUCACUCGCAAGAGGAAGCAUUGAAUUGAAGCCCCGGUAAACGGCGGCCGUAACUAUAACGGUCCUAAGGUAGCGAAAUUCCUUGUCGGGU